AAAUAAAAAGAAACGGAGGGAGUAAUGAUGAGGGUGAAGAGAAAGUGGAUUAUGAUGGGAUUGAUGAUGAUUUGUUAUGUUCCGAGGAGACAUAAGACUUUGCUAAAAAAAGUAGGUGGUCUAAUGAAUGAUUCUCAAAACGGUGAGAAUGAAACAAAGGAAGAAGGAGCACUGAAAGAUGGCUUUCAGGUGGUUAAAAAUAGAAAGGGCAAAGGUAAAAUAGGUGAACAAGCAGAUGGUGUUAGGAGAAGCUCGAGGCUAGAAGCUUAUGAAGACAUCAAGGUGUUGGAUAUGGCGAUUUCUAGGGCGGAGGCUAAAGACGCAUUCAUCCACUCAGCUAACCCGUACUCUGUUUCAAAUACUGAUGACUCUACUUUAUGUGAGAUUGCUGC
rnacentral:misc_RNA from 1 species